GGACGGUUGGCUCAGUUGGUAAGAGCACUCGGACGGAAACCGAGAGGCGCAGGUUCGAUUCCUGCAUCGUCCA